GACCGCGGUUAUACGAAAGGCUCAAGUUGAUAAAAAACGGCACAAAAGGUGGUUACGAAACAAACUAAACUAGGGUUAAAGGCUUUCAAAGCUGUUAUAAGCAAUCGAAAGGUAUGAAGCUCAAACACGAAGGUGGCCUUAUAUAAUCGGACCCCACUAAAGCUAGGACA
rnacentral:rRNA from 1 species